GAUGAACGCUGGCGGCGUGCCUAAUACAUGCAAGUCGAGCGAAUGGAUUAAGAGCUUGCUCUUAUGAAGUUAGCGGCGGACGGGUGAGUAACACGUGGGUAACCUGCCCAUAAGACUGGGAUAACUCCGGGAAACCGGGGAUAAUACGGGAUAACAUUUUGAACCGCAUGGUUCGAAAUUGAAAGGCGGCUUCGGCUGUCACUUAUGGAUGGACCCGCGUCGCCUUAGCUAUUUGGUGAGGUAACGGCUCACCAAGGCAACGAUGCGUAGCCGACCUGAGAGGGUGAUCGGCCACACGGGGACUGAGACACGGCCCAGACUCCUACGGGAGGCAGCAGUAGGGAAUCUUCCGCAAUGGACGAAAGUCUGACGGAGCAACGCCGCGUGAGUGAUGAAGGCUUUCGGGUCGUAAAACUCUGUUGUUAGGGAAGAACAAGUGCUAGUUGAAUAAGCUGGCACCUUGACGGUACCUAACCAGAAAGCCACGGCUAACUACGUGCCAGCAGCCGCGGUAA
rnacentral:rRNA from 1 species